CCAAUCUAAAAAGCAUGGCGUCUCUUUCGUCACCGAAUUGGCUGUCAACAUCCUAGCAAUACCAGCUUCUCUUCCAACGAGCCAAGCCUUCACAUUUUUAAAUCCAAGAUUAGCACUAACACCCCUUCUCCUUCAACUUCUUUAGGCAGCAGGAGAAGCAGAAACUAGCAUCAACAUGUUCUCUGCUGCAACAAAAACAACAACAACAGCUAAAAGAAGAAGAGCUACUUUUUUGCCUUGGAGAAGUACCAUGUGGAACUGGAACUAAAAGAAGAUAAGCUAUAUUCAAUAUGGCAUUUACUGCUCUUACAUUCCCGGCAAUUGCUUCUACUGAAUUGGCAGCAACCGUUUGUCGAUGAAGAAUCGGUGAAAUUUGGCACCAAGAUCCGGAAGUGUAUGAAAACUCUUCGUUUACAUGGUCUCAAGUUCUUGUCUUCGAAAUAUUAAAGCUUCUGUGACAACUUGGAGAUAAAAGAUUUCAGGUACCACCUGAAAUGCCAGUACUAUUUGGUUCUGCAGGCUGUUCCAUCCUUCAGGUUUAUUUGAUGACAUAAACUACCUGUAAACCAGGUAUCAUUCUUUCAUUUUCUUCUUUGGCCGCUAUAUGUUAAAAAUUCUGGAGUAAUCACAUUCGAUUCGCAUGAAUCUGCUACUCGCGAAGAGAGCUUCUUAAAAAAGCAUCAUGUUAGAUUUGGACAUAG